rnacentral:tRNA from 1 species
GGUUUGGUAGCUCAAUUGGUACAGCGAUUGCCGCGUUGAGGCAUGUUUCUGUUGCUGGUUGGAAUCCAGCCGAAGCCC